rnacentral:rRNA from 1 species
CGGACGGGUGAGUAAUGCCUAGGAAUCUGCCUGGUAGUGGGGGACAACGUUUCGAAAGGAACGCUAAUACCGCAUACGUCCUACGGGAGAAAGCAGGGACCUUCGGGCCUUGCGCUAUCAGAUGAGCCUAGGUCGGAUUAGCUAGUGGUGAGGUAAUGGCUCACCAAGGCGACGAUCCGUAACUGGUCUGAGAGGAUGAUCAGUCACACUGGAACUGAGACACGGUCCAGACUCCUACGGGAGGCAGCAGAU